rnacentral:tRNA from 1 species
GCCCUGGUGGACUAGUGGUUAGGCCACAGCGCUCUCACCUCUGCGGUCCGGGUUCGAUUCCCAGCCAGGGAA